rnacentral:rRNA from 1 species
CGCUGGCGGCGUGCCUAACACAUGCAAGUCGAGCGGUAACAGGUGUAGCAAUACAUGCUGACGAGCGGCGAACGGGUGAGUAAUGCUUCGGAAUCUGCCCAAUGGUGGGGAAUAACCAGCCGAAAGGUUGGCUAAUACCGCAUAAGUCCUACGGGGGAAAGCAGGGGAUCGCAAGACCUUGCGCCGAUGGAUGAGCCGAAGUCGGAUUAGCUAGUUGGUAGGGUAACGGCCUACCAAGGCGACGAUCCGUAGCUGGUCUGAGAGGACGACCAGCCACACUGGGACUGAGACACGGCCCAGACUCCUACGGGAGGCAGCAGUGGGGAAUAUUGGACAAUGGGGGAAACCCUGAUCCAGCGACGCCGCGUGUGUGAAGAAGGCCUGCGGGUUGUAAAGCACUUUUAGUGGGGAUGAAAAGCUCAGGGCUAAUACCUCUGGGUCUUGACCUAACCCAAAGAAAAAGCACCGGCUAACUCUGUGCCAGCAGCCGCGGUAAUACAGAGGGUGCGAGCGUUAAUCGGAAUUACUGGGCGUAAAGCGUGCGUAGACGGUUAUGUAAGUCGGGUGUGAAAGCCCCGGGCUCAACCUGGGAAUUGCAUUCGAGACUGC